rnacentral:misc_RNA from 1 species
GCAAGCUAUUUGGGCAAUCAUCCUACGAAAGUCCUCCUAGCUUACAAUCGAAAAUCUCUAAGAAUCUCUUUCUGUUUUCUUACUUUCUCCCAUUUUCUUCGGUUUUCUGGGUUUCUCUCCGUUUCUCUAGUGGUGAAAAGUGGGUAUGGCAGUGUUGUCGUUUAGCUCGCUGCCUUUAGGGUUCAGAUUCAGGCCAACGGACGAGGAAUUGGUGAAUUUCUACUUGAGAUUGAAGAUUAAUGGAAAUGAUGAAGAGGUCAAAGUCAUUCGAGAACUCGAUGUUUGUAAAUGGGAGCCCUGGGAUUUGCCUGAUUUAUCGAUGAUAAAGACGAAUGAUCAAGAGUGGUUCUUUUUCUGUCCGCUUGAUCGCAAGUAUCCGAGUGGGCACAGAUUGAACAGGGCAACAAGUAAAGGAUACUGGAAGGCAACUGGAAAGGAUCGUAAAAUAAAGUCUGGAAACAACUUGAUUGGUAUGAAGAAAACUCUCGUCUUCUACACUGGNCGCUCCUCGUGGUACCAGAACCCACUGGGUCAUCCAUGAGUAUCGUGCCGUGGAGGACGACCUUGACGGCACUAAACCUGGCCAGAGCCCCUUUGUCAUUUGUCGUUUAUUUAAGAAACAAGAUGACAGCGUCGAAGGUUUGAACUCGGAAGAACCAGAAGCUACUAUUUCUUCUCCUACCGUGGCCCAAUCCUUUCCGGAAGUCGCAGAAUCUGAGCUAGCAUUGCCACAACCAUCUCCAGUAAAUACCCCAGCCUCCAACAUUCUACCAUCUAAUGAAUGCUUUAAUGCCUUUCAAUCUGGAGGUCAAACAGUAGAUGUAACGACUCCUGAGGGGGAUAGUCAGCUGGAAGAAUACUUGAAUUGGUUUGUCCAACCACCUGAUACUGUAUAUGACAAGCUCUUUUCCCCUCUGCAUGCACAAGUACAAGCAGAAGUGGGUUUUCCGCAUUAUUCCAUUGCCAAUGACUGGAGCAACUGUAACAGUGGGGUGCAAUCUCAUCAUGGCACAAAUGAAAUAGAUUCUGCAUAUGUGACUAAUUUCCUGGAUGACGUCCUUCCACAGUACUCUUGUAAGGAGUAUGGCAGCAUUAAGAAUUUUGCUUUUGAUGAGUUCCCUGAAUCUUAUGGUGGAUUAGAUGCCAAAGUGAACCAAGCUUUGCUUGAAGAAGAGUUGCAGGGUACUGUAUACCCUGAGGAGGAUAUUGACAAAAAGCUGCCUUUAGUUGUAGAAACAAUCCAAGAAGAUAGAUUGUUAACUUUUGACCAUGGUGUUGAAUCCUACAGAAGGCAAAGUUUUACAUCAAUUUCUGGUGCAGAACAAUUAACUAGUUUCAAGGAAAUAAGCGACCAUAGGAAUCAAAUUGGCAGCAGUGAGAGUGUUGGAACUGGAAUCAGGAUUAGGGCUCGGA